GACGUAGGGGGCCAGCGUUGUUCGGAAUUACUGGGGGUAAAGGGUUCGUAGGCGGUGUGGCAAGUCGGGAGUGAAAUCUCUGGGCUCAACUCAGAGACUGCUUCCGAAACUGCUGUGCUGGAGUGUGGGAGAGGCGCGUGGAAUUGCAGGUGUAGCGGUGAAAUGCGUAGAUAUCAGGAAGAACACCAAUGGCGAAGGCAGCUCUCUGGGACGGUACUGACGCUGAGACGCGAAAGCGUGGGGAGCGAACAGG
rnacentral:rRNA from 1 species